rnacentral:rRNA from 1 species
AAAAUGACUCUCGGCAACGGAUAUCUCGGCUCUUGCAUCGAUGAAGAACGUAGCAAAAUGCGAUACUUGGUGUGAAUUGCAGAAUCCCGUGAACCAUCGAGUCUUUGAACGCAAGUUGCGCCCGAAGCCAUUAGGUUGAGGGCACGCCUGCCUGGGUGUCACAU